UUGAAUUGCGAAGUCGAUGAAAAGUGUGAUCAAUUAAUUAAUUAAUUGACUUUCGCAAUUCGUCGACACCGGUUCAACAACGGCUACGCUCUCACGUGCCGGCCGAGGACACGGAAGUGUGGCCGUUUUUGACCAUCAAAUAAUAAGGGAAUAAUAAGAUGACGAUUAUGAAUUCUAUAAGUGGAAUGUUGUGAAGACUUGGAAGUUGGGACUGAUCGGAAAGCCUACAUGCUCCUCAACAGGAUGAUUACUAUUAAUACUUUCUACUGUGUGGGUAACUCGAAACGAAGAAGAAGAAGAAGAAGUAGUGGUGGCGGAGGAGAAAUACCGCCGUGGCGGCAAGACGACGAGCCACCUUUUUCGUCGAAAAAUUUGGAGAGCGAGUUUAAGAGCCGGUUUAUCCGGAUUGAAAACUGCAGCUGUGAUCCUGCCAUAUUGCCUCAGAAUGAUUAGAAGAAUAUUUUUCGGAUGCGAAUGAUAUUAUUUUAUUUACAUCUUUCGUUGUCUUUUUUUUCUUCACUCCGAAAAAAGUAAAAUUACGUUUUUAUCUCGGUUUUCAAUAAUAUGAGGAUAAUGAUUUAAUUAUACAUCAAUUCUAUAUAUAUAUAUAUAUUAUAAUUUCAUAUAAUAAUUUAAUUUUUUAAUCUUUAGAUUUUUUUAAUUUUUGUUUUAAUUCGGAAAACUGUUUCUUCGUCACUUUUUAAAUAUGAAUAUUUACAGGGAGUUAAGACUAAAGAAUAUUAAUAUUAACAAUUAAUAAGUAAUAAAUAUUA